rnacentral:rRNA from 1 species
AGCAGCCGCGGUAAUUCCAGCUCCAAUAGCGUAUAUUAAAGUUGUUGCAGUUAAAAAGCUCGUAGUUGAAUUUCGGGGUUCUACCGUCGGUCGGGCUAACAAGUCUGUACUGGUGUGUAGAAUUUCUACCUUCUGGGGAACUAUCAUGUUAUUAAUUUAGCGUGGUGGGAAACCAGGACCUUUACCUUGAAAAAAUUAGAGUGUUCAAAGCAGGCUUACGUCUGAAUACAUUAGCAUGGAAUAAUAGAAUAGGACGGUGGUCCUGUUUUGUUGGUUUCUGAAUCACCGUAAUGAUUAAUAGGGAUAGUUGGGGGCAUUAGUAUUCAAUUGUCAGAGGUGAAAUUCUUGGAUUUAUUGAAGACUAACUUCUGCGAAAGCAUUUGCCAAGGAUGUUUUCAUUAAUCAAGAACGAAAGUUAGGGGAUCGAAGACGAUCAGAUACCGUCGUAGUCUUAACCAUAAACUAUGCCGACUAGGGAUCGGACGAUGUUAAAUUUUAUUGACUCG